UCAGGUUUUCCCUGUUCCCGCGUGUUCGGCCAAUUUUUUGUUGUUGUUGUUUUGUUUUUGUUUUUGUUUUUGAGUCAAUUUUCCAGACAUCUUUAAUUAGCAAUAUGUUUAAGUAGUUACAAGCCUUUCCUUCUUUUCUUGUGACAGUUUGGGUUGAAUUUCUAUCGUUUGCAGCCUGUCACUGUAAGGCACAAACAUGAUCACGCAAGAUGCGAUAGUAGAUUUAAGCCAGUUGUUUUUAAGUUUGUGUUUAAGGAGAAACUAACAAUGAAAACGGCCUCGUUGACGGAGGAAAAGUUGGAAUGCAGCCUCUGGUGCUGUUUGAGCGAUCCCUCUCCCCGGGGCCUGGCCGCGCGCUGCUGUGUUCUGGAAGGGCUCAUUGUACAGUCAAGGCGGCAGGGCCUUCUUCUGUCACCCAUGCUGGAGUGCAGUAGCAUGAUCACAGCUCACGGUAGCCUCCACCUUCUGGGCUCAAUCCUCCUACCUCAGCCUUCCAAGUAGCUGGGACUACAGUCUUGAGGAUCCAUUUUCUGAGACGGUGAUGGGAAAGAUGUUGGUUGUCAAGUGGAAUCUCAGCAGUCAUUUUCAGACAAAGUUAGAGAAAACAAGUAUGGAAGAUGCCUGAUUCUCAAAGAGUCAUCCAGUCUUGGGAUUACCGCCUACGUCCAUGGAAGUGAAAGUCCUCUUUUUCUUUGUACCACUUACUGAGGCUGAAGAGGAAGAGGAAGAGCAGGUGUUGGUCUUGAUGUCUCAGGGCAGGCAGAGGUGGAAGAGAAUCUGUGUGUAAAGCACCUGCACAGUUCAAACCCAUGCUGUUCGAGGGUCAACUGCAUUCUUGAAAAUUGCUAAAAGACUCCAUUCCUUGCAUCCCAGGGAUGAAGCCCACUUGAUCAUGGUGGAUAAGCUGUUUGAUGUGCUGCUGGAUUCGGUUUGCCAGUAUUUUAUUGAGGAUUUUUGCAUCGAUGUUCAUCACAUUAAUUCAAGAUGGAUUAAAGACUUAAAUGUUAGACCUAAAACCAUAAAAACCCUAGAAGAAAACCUAGGCAAUACCAUUCAGGACAUAGGCAUGGGCAAGGACUUCCUGUCUAAAACACCAAAAGCAAUGGCAACAAAAGCCAAAAUUGACAAAUGGGAUCUAAUUAAACUAAAUAACUUCUGCACAGCAAAAGAAACUACCAUCAGAGUGAACAGGCAACCUACAGAAUGGGAGAAAAUUGUUGUAAUCUACUCAUCUGACAAAGGGCUAAUAUCCAGAAUCUACAAUGAACUCAAACAAAUUUACAAGAAAAAAACAAACAACCCCAUCAAAAAGUGGGCGAAGGAUAUGAACAGACACUUCUGAAAAGAAGACAUUUAUGCAGCCAAAAGACACAUGAAAAAAUGCUCAUCAUCACUGGCCAUCAGAGAAAUGCAAAUCAAAACCGCAAUGAGAUACCAUCUCACACCAAUUAGAAUGGCAAUCAUUAAAAAGUCAGGAAACAACAAGUGCUGGAGAGGAUGUGGAGAAAUAGGAACACUUUUACACUGUUGGUGGGACUGUAAACUAGUUCAACCAUUGUGGAAGACAGUGCGGCGAUUCCUCAGGGAUCUAGAACUAGAAAUAACAUUUGACCCAGCCAUCCCAUUACUGGGUAUAUACCCAAAGGAUUACAAAUCAUGCUGCUAUAAAGACACAAGCACAUGAAUGCUUGUUUAUUGUGGCACUAUUCACAAUAGCAAAGACUUGGAACCAACCCAGAUGUCCAACAAUGAUAGACUGGAUCAAGAAAAUGUGGCACAUAGACACCAUGGAAUACUAUGCAGCCAUAAAAAAGGAUGA
rnacentral:lncRNA from 1 species